rnacentral:pre_miRNA from 1 species
AGGAGGAACAGCCCCAGUGGCGGGGCAGCUCUGGAGCCCUGGAUUCAGCCCCCGCAGGAACUCCGGAGCUCUCCGUCUGCAGGGCCUGGAGGCUCCGGGGCGGG